rnacentral:rRNA from 1 species
GAAUGCUGACAUAAGUAACGAUAAAGCGGGUGAAAAGCCCGCUCGCCGGAAGACCAAGGGUUCCUGUCCAACGUUAAUCGGGGCAGGGUGAGUCGACCCCUAAGGCGAGGCCGAAAGGCGUAGUCGAUGGGAAACAGGUUAAUAUUCCUGUACUUGGUGUUACUGCGAAGGGGGGACGGAGAAGGCUAUGUUGGCCGGGCGACGGUUGUCCCGGUUUAAGCGUGUAGGCUGGUUUUCCAGGCAAAUCCGGAAAAUCAAGGCUGAGGCGUGAUGACGAGGCACUACGGUGCUGAAGCGACAA